rnacentral:rRNA from 1 species
GUGGGGAAUAUUGGACAAUGGGCGAAAGCCUGAUCCAGCCAUGCCGCGUGUGUGAAGAAGGUCUUCGGAUUGUAAAGCACUUUAAGUUGGGAGGAAGGGCAGUAAGUUAAUACCUUGCUGUUUUGACGUUACCGACAGAAUAAGCACCGGCUAACUUCGUGCCAGCAGCCGCGGUAAUACGAAGGGUGCAAGCGUUAAUCGGAAUUACUGGGCGUAAAGCGCGCGUAGGUGGUUUUGUAAGUUGGAGGUGAAAUCCCCGGGCUCAACUUGGGAACUGCCUCCAAAACUGCAUGACUAGAGUACGGUAGAGGGUAGUGGAAUUUCCUGUGUAGCGGUGAAAUGCGUAGAUAUAGGAAGGAACACCAGUGGCGAAGGCGACUACCUGGACUGAUACUGACACUGAGGUGCGAAAGCGUGGGGAGCAAACAGGAUUAGAAACCCGAGUAGUCC